AUGAAGUGGCCAGUAUGGGAGGCCCGAGGGGAAACUGCUCACCUCCGUAGGGGAAGACCCAGGAUCAACUCCAAGGAACCACCUGUAAAGUCAGCAGGUACUGACAAAGAGCAGCAUUGCCACCCCUGGGCAAUGCCCCUCUUACCUGGCAGAUGGUACCAGUUCCUGUCAAGGGUUCCCACCCCAGGGGAGAACAUACCAUCAUUACUGAGUGGUAGAGAUCAUGAAAUGGAAGCCUCUGGCGUUUCCUUUCCCCUUCCACGCUCUGUGGCCACCAGGAAACCUGGGACAUCGAGAAAAAGCCUUCAGCAGCCCCAACUGCAAAAACAGUUUCAAUCAUGUGAUGUGAUUGAUGGUUUUAAUAUGUCAAAAAUAGAAGCGCUGUGAAGCAGGUACUGCUGCGCCCCCCAUUCUGCGGGUGAGGAAAUCGGGGCGGACUGAGUGUACUUGCGUCUCUUGCCCAGGAACACUUUGCCACCAGCACUUCUCCCUGUGGGACGUGGGACCACACCAAUGUCUGACAACCCUGAGCCCACACGGCCUUGUCUGCAAAGCAGGUAUAACUCCAUGUCUCCCACACAACUGUGUAAUGGAUGAAAGAAAAUAUUUUCAAUAACUGGUCACAUUAUCAGGUGCAUAGAGGCGUCCAGUAAAUGCCAGGGCUCCCUCGCCUUUAAUCAAAGCAAAAGAAGACUGGAAGCAUUUUGGUUGUGCAUCAACUGACCAUUUUCCAAAUUGGCUAGUAAGAAACCCUGGCUUCCAACCCUGCCAUUAGUGGAAAGCUUAGCUGGUAUAUCAAGCCAACCCACAUGACAGCAGAAGAAAGCAAGUCCCGUGCAAAACAGCAAAUGCAUUGUGUGUCUGCCCACUUUUGGUCUACACAGAGCCUUCCAACCCAGGCAGAGGACUGUCUUCCUCGGCUAAGCGUAACUGCACUUCAGUCUCCACCAGAAUGGACCAGGACCUAACUUCUCACCUCCCUAAACAGAGCCUCAACCUGCCAAAGCAUUCUGGAGACUUAGCAUGUUAUGAAUUGCUGAGUCCUUUGUUCUUCCUCCAGAGUGAGGCCACGGUUGGCCUGGGGCCUGGUGCUAACCAGAGGGGGAGGAUCAAGCUGCUAAUCCUGGGUCUGUAACCAUCUGUAUCGCUCUUGGGUCCAGCUGGAAACAGAAGGCACACUCAAAGCGGUUUAACAGACGUGAAUGUAAUGAAGGCACUAUGGACAGAGCGGUGGGGAGGCAUAAGGGAAUACCAGGAGAGAGAUGAGGGGCCUGGGGGCUAGGUAAAGGCGGGGCCAGGGAGGGGAUGAUGUUGUAGGAGCCCAGUGAGAGCCAAAGCCAUGAGGAAGGUGACACUUCACAGGAGAUGUGGCCAUCGAGUCAUCCAACCAGUCAGGGCCAGAAUCAGAGUGGAUACCUUUGAACUCCCCCCAUGGCUGACCUCAACCAGAACCAUAGAGCAAGACAGCCACAUGAGGCAGUCCAUAGAGGUCAGCCUCUGGAGAGGGCUACAGAAUGGAUGGGGUGGUGGGAGGGGGCAGGUGGACAACCACCAGCACCCGGGUGCAUGGGAUACCCCCCAUCUCGGGGCCUCAGCCCUCUGAGCUGCCCAUGGUCUACUGGAAUAGCCGGAGUUCAUUCAAACUUCCACCCAGCUCAAGGCACAAUGUAAGGGUCCCUGGGGCCUUCCAACAAUAGAAGCAUUCUCUAAAUCCUAAGAGGAUAAACUGGACUUCAGAAAAUAACUACUGGACAGCUUGGGAGCUGCAAAAGAAAUGAAGGGCCAGAGUUCCACCCAGUCACAUAGUGUUCUGGGUGGUCAACACCCAAAGAUCCUGCUCUGUUUUGGGCACUCACAACGCAGGACACAACUUAAUCCUCUCAUUC